UCCAUCAGCAUCUCUCAUUUGAUGGAGUGAGGAAUUCUCUCUCAGAUCUGAAGAAGAGACUCGAGGAAUUCUGGGAGGAGGAAUUCAACAAAAUCCCUCCACAUGCUGCAGCAGUUCAGAUCAUUUCAGAACCAGAACCACAGAGCAGAGAAGAGUUUCUGAAAUAUUUCUGUUAUCUGACUCUGGAUCUCAACACGGUACAUCGUCUCCUCAUUCUGUCUGAGAAGAACAGAGCGGUGAGAUGCAGUGAGAG